AUCUAGGUAGCUUAAAUUAAAGCACAUCUUUGAAGAAGAUAUAAUGAAGAAUUUCCCCAGAUA
rnacentral:tRNA from 1 species